GUUCUUGUAGUUGAUUACAACGGUGGUUUUUCAAAUCAUAGGUCUUGGUUAAAGUCCAGGUAAGAAUG
rnacentral:tRNA from 1 species